rnacentral:rRNA from 1 species
CCCUUAGAUGUUCUGGGCCGCACGCGCGCUACACUGAUGCAUUCAACGAGUCUAAAACCUGCUCUGAUAGGGGUGGGUAAUCUUUUGAAUGUGCAUCGUGAUUGGGAUAGAUGAUUGCAAUUUUUCAUCUUCAACGAGGAAUGCCUAGUAAACGCAAGUCAUCAGCUUGCAUUGAUUACGUCCCUGCCCUUUGUACACACCGCCCGUCGCUCCUACCGAUUGAAUGAUCCGAUGAAUAUCAUGGAUUGAGGAUGCAAGCAGGUUCGCCUGUCUUCAUCUUCGAGAAGUGAAGUAAAUCUUAUCAUUUAGAGGAAGGAGAAGUCGUAACU